rnacentral:lncRNA from 1 species
UUAAAACAAGAUAGGUAUCAAACAUCACAAAUCAGAUCAAAGAAAGCAGUUCUGGAAAACGAAGAUUGAUUCUGGAAAACGAAGAUUGAUCUUAAAGCUAUUCAAGAAAACGAAGAUUGAUCUUGACCUUCUGCUGAGAAACGAAGAACGAUCUUCGUUUAUGGCAUAAACAAGGAUAAUCAGUUUCCUUGUAAAAAGAUCAAUCCUGGAAACAUCAUUCAUCUUAUAUUCUCAUAUAGAAUCAGCAAAGGAUCAAUCUGAGUCACAUUUGUUCCAGAAUUUGAAGAAUC